AAGGCUAUUGUUUUCCCCAAAUCACGCCGACAACAAAAUCCCCUUUCUUUAUUGUACUGUUCACUCUACGCGGCUGUGAUUUGGGUAGGGUGGGCAGGGGAGAUCCCAGGAGGACGCGUCAUGCUGCUCGACAUCGUCAUGGCCGGCGCGGCCGGGGCGAUGGUGCUGGAGGUUGGUGGUGCGGAGGAGGCGGUGACUGACCUGACGAAGGGUGCACAGGUUCGCGGAUUUCCCAGCGAUUUGGUGCGUGCCGAUCUUCCAAGCCAUUCUGACCGAGGAGGGGACCGGGCGUUCGAGCAGCUGUUCUUGCUCCGGCCACCAGCGAGACCGGAUCUCGCCGUCGCUGAUAAGGAAAGGCGGAUGCCAGUCGCCUGGGAGGUCACGGGUGCUGGCAGAGAGCUUUGGCGUUGCGUAGAAUGGCCUCUCGUUCCUUGUCGCUUAGGUUGAUGAAGAGCGACAGAUUUCCCAUCCAAUGAGUGUUGAGAGAUCUCAUGGAGGAUGGAGUACCGGUUCAUGGAUUUACUGGACAAAAUUGUUCUACUGGGUCAAGCUGUUGGUGCUAGGGCAUCAAUGCCAAGGUGGCAUAGGACAGAAAAUAAUUGUUGACCAAGGCAAGCUAAUGGAGAAUGACUGGAUCCUGAGGCACAGUACAGAUGGUGGACUACUGCUAUGGUCUAUUAGAGGUGUGGGGGUAACAGAGGCAGAUUCAUAUGAGGAGAUAGCGAAAUAAAUAAAUAGCACCAAGAUGUGAGCAACAUGUUUGGCCGGCCAUUAUGUUGUUGCCCUCCUCAUUGUCGGUGUUGUUGGACUUCUACCAGAUUAACAAUGGAUAUUAUUUUACCGCGCCCUAGAUCCGACUUUUCAUCUUCAUGCCUUCCUAAUUGUUUGUACUGCUGGACUUUUACCACUCUGGGCGUCCUGGUUUUUUCGGCGUGUGUUUGGAUUGAGGCUUUGUUCUGUUGGGCGUCGCAGCGUCGGGAGUGCAUAUUGGAUGCUUCAGUACCUGCAAUCCAUCGUGGGUGCAUAUUGUACUUUAGUACCUUCAAUCCGCCGACGUGACGGACACGUACUGAAUGCUUGCUUCUAUCGUGCUGGCUGGCAAUGGCGGCGUGUGUGUGUUUAUGCUGCUUGGGGGCUGGUCGUCGCUGGCUGGCCAGCAAGUUUCGUAUGGACAUAUGAUACGUGUACGUGUUCUUGUCCAAUUGAAGUUGUGUGUCUGCUAGAAAUCAAUCACGGCAUGCAAAUCAAUUAGGCAAUGCAUGAAUACGUGUCUGUGUGUUUCUCUUGUAUAUGAGGCAUGCAGACUUGACCAAAGCCGGCCGACUGGGUAUGGUCGUGUGUUUUAUGUUCACAUAUUCGUACGUGUCAUGGUUGGCUUUUUUAAUCAACCGUAGUUUUUGUACCAACCAUAGUUGUAUGUAACCUCACCUUACAACGUGACACCAUAAAAGUUCAAUACUACCGGUACAUAUAUUUUAUGAUGUUAUGUAAAAACGCUUAAAUCUUAGCCGUUGUUAUUGUAAUCUAACGGCGUAAAAAAUAUUAGCAUAUGUGGAAGAACGUGAUGGCUUAUUUGACUCUUAUAUAAUAGAUAGAUUGCUUGGCUUGUCAUCGGGGUUGUGCAUGAUGAGAGCAUUUUUGUGUGACGAAAAUGAAGCAUAACCAAUCUAUAUGAUUUUGUAGGGAUAAGCUUUCUUUGGC